CCUACGGGUGGCAGCAGUGAGGAAUAUUGGUCAAUGGGCGGAAGCCUGAACCAGCCAAGUCGCGUGAGGGACUAAGGCCCUACGGGUCGUAAACCUCUUUUGCCGGGGAUCAGUGCCCAGCUCGCGAGCUGGGAGGGAGCGUACCCGGAGAAAAAGCAUCGGCUAACUCCGUGCCAGCAGCCGCGGUAAUACGGAGGAUGCGAGCGUUAUCCGGAUUUAUUGGGUGUAAAGGGAGCGUAGACGGUUAUGCAAGUCUGAAGUGAAAGCCCAAGGCUCAACCAUGGGACUGCUUUGGAAACUGUAAAACUGGAGUGCAGGAGAGGUAAGCGGAAUUCCUAGUGUAGCGGUGAAAUGCGUAGAUAUUAGGAGGAACACCAGUGGCGAAGGCGGCUUACUGGACUGUAACUGACGUUGAGGCUCGAAGGCGUGGGGAGCAAACAGGAUUAGAUACCCCGGUAGUC
rnacentral:rRNA from 1 species